rnacentral:rRNA from 1 species
UGGGGAAUAUUGCACAAUGGGCGCAAGCCUGAUGCAGCCAUGCCGCGUGUAUGAAGAAGGCCUUCGGGUUGUAAAGUACUUUCAGCGGGGAGGAAGGUGUUGUGGUUAAUAACCACAGCAAUUGACGUUACCCGCAGAAGAAGCACCGGCUAACUCCGUGCCAGCAGCCGCGGUAAUACGGAGGGUGCAAGCGUUAAUCGGAAUUACUGGGCGUAAAGCGCACGCAGGCGGUCUGUCAAGUCGGAUGUGAAAUCCCCGGGCUCAACCUGGGAACUGCAUCCGAAACUGGCAGGCUUGAGUCUUGUAGAGGGGGGUAGAAUUCCAGGUGUAGCGGUGAAAUGCGUAGAGAUCUGGAGGAAUACCGGUGGCGAAGGCGGCCCCCUGGACAAAGACUGACGCUCAGGUGCGAAAGCGUGGGAGCAAACA